GGUUAAGCGACUAAGCGUACACGGUGGAUGCCCUGGCAGUCAGAGGCGAUGAAGGACGUGCUAAUCUGCGAAAAGCGUCGGUAAGGUGAUAUGAACCGUUAUAACCGGCGAUGUCCGAAUGGGGAAACCCAGUGCAAUUCGUUGCACUAUCGUUAACUGAAUACAUAGGUUAACGAGGCGAACCGGGGGAACUGAAACAUCUAAGUACCCCGAGGAAAAGAAAUCAACCGAGAUUCCCCCAGUAGCGGCGAGCGAACGGGGAGCAGCCCAGAGUCUGAAUCAGCUUGUGUGUUAGUGGAACGGUCUGGAAAGUCCGACGGUACAGGGUGAUAGUCCCGUACACCAAAAUGCACAGGUUGUGAACUCGAAGAGUAGGGCGGGACACGUGGUAUCCUGUCUGAAUAUGGGGGGACCAUCCUCCAAGGCUAAAUACUCCUGACUGACCGAUAGUGAACCAGUACCGUGAGGGAAAGGUGAAAAGCACCCCGGAAGGGGAGUGAAAGAGAUCCUGAAACCGUGUGCCUACAAGUAGUUAGAGCCCGUUAAUGGGUGAUAGCGUGCCUUUUGUAGAAUGAACCGGCGAGUUACGAUUACAUGCGAGGUUAAGUUGGACAGACGGAGCCGUAGCGAAAGCGAGUCUGAAUAGGGCGAAUGAGUAUGUGGUCGUAGACCCGAAACCAGGUGAUCUACCCAUGUCCAGGGUGAAGUCCAGGUAACACUGGAUGGAGGCCCGAACCCACGUACGUUGAAAAGUGCGGGGAUGAGGUGUGGGUAGCGGAGAAAUUCCAAUC
rnacentral:rRNA from 1 species